UUUCUAUGAUAUGUCUUUCUAUAUGAAAAUUGGUUAUUUACGAUGUACGAUGAUCCCUGUUAAGCAUCCAUGGCUGAAUGGUUAAAGCGCCCAACUCAUAAUUGGUAAAUUUGCGGGUUCAAUUCCUGCUGGAUGCA
rnacentral:tRNA from 1 species